rnacentral:rRNA from 1 species
UACGGAGGGUGCAAGCGUUAUCCGGAUUCACUGGGUUUAAAGGGUGCGUAGGUGGGCAGGUAAGUCAGUGGUGAAAUCUCCGGGCUUAACCCGGAAACUGCCAUUGAUACUAUCUGUCUUGAAUACCCUGGAGGUGAGCGGAAUAUGUCAUGUAGCGGUGAAAUGCUUAGAUAUGACAUAGAACACCCAUUGCGAAGGCAGCUCACUACGGGAAUAUUGACACUGAGGCACGAAAGCGUGGGGAGCAAACAGG